rnacentral:rRNA from 1 species
GACGAGCGCUGGCGGCGUGCUUAACACAUGCAAGUCGAACGGAAAGGCCCUGCUUUUGUGGGGUGCUCGAGCGGCGAACGGGUGAGUAACACGUGAGUAACCUGCCCUUGACUUUGGGAUAACUUCAGGAAACUGGGGCUAAUACCGGAUAGGAGCUCCUGCUGCAUGGUGGGGGUUGGAAAGUUUCGGCGGUUGGGGAUGGACUCGCGGCUUAUCAGCUUGUUGGUGGGGUAGUGGCUUACCAAGGCUUUGACGGGUAGCCGGCCUGAGAGGGUGACCGGCCACAUGGGGACUGAGAUACGGCCCAGACUCCUGCGGGAGGCAGCAGUGGGGAAUAUUGCACAAUGGGCGGAAGCCUGAUGCAGCAACGCCGCGUGCGGGAUGACGGCCUUCGGGUUGUAAACCGCUUUCGCCUGUGACGAAGCGUGAGUGACGGUAAUGGGUAAAGAAGCACCGGCUAACUACGUG